rnacentral:rRNA from 1 species
AUGAACGCUGGCGGCGUGCCUAAUACAUGCAAGUCGCGCGAACGGACGAGAAGCUUGCUUCUCUGAUGUUAGCGGCGGACGGGUGAGUAACACGUGGAUAACCUACCUAUAAGACUGGGAUAACUUCGGGAAACCGUAGCUAAUACCGGAUAAUAUUUUGAACCGCAUGGUUCAAAAGUGAAAGACGGUCUUGCUGUCACUUAUAGAUGGAUCCGCGCUGCAUUAGCUAGUUGGUAAGGUAACGGCUUACCAAGGCAACGAUGCAUAGCCGACCUGAGAGGGUGAUCGGCCACACUGGAACUGAGACACGGUCCAGGCUCCUACGGGAGGCAGCAGUAGGGAAUCUUCCGCAAUGGGCGAAAGCCUGACGGAGCAACGCCGCGUGAGUGAUGAAGGUCUUCGGAUCGUAAAACUCUGUUAUUAGGGAAGAACAUAUGUGUAAGUAACUGUGCACAUCUUGACGGUACCUAAUCAGAAAGCCACGGCUAACUACGUG